UCUCGGUGGAACUGCAUUUGGGGUCAGUGUUGUUGAAAAAACAAAAGUCUCUUCCCAAUACAGAAGAAACCCUCUCAUCAAAGUUCUUUGCUUUCAUUCCUUCUCAUUAGUUUUUGGUGGAUUGAAGAGGUCUGUGAGAGGAUGCCAAGAUCAGGGCCAAGACCCUAUGAGUGUAUCAGAAGAGCUUGGCACAGUGAUAGGCACCAGCCUGUGAGAGGUUCUCUCAUUAAAGAGAUUUUCAGUGUGGUGAAUGAGAUCCAUAGCUCAGCUACUAAGAAGAACAAGGAAUGGCAAGAGAAGCUCCCUAUUGUUGUGUUGAAAGCAGAGGAGAUUAUGUACUCUAAAGCCAAUUCUGAGGCUGAAUACACAGACCUUAAGACACUUUGGGACAGAGUAAAUGAUGCCAUUAACACCAUAAUUCGCCGUGAUGAGAGCAUUGAAACUGGUGAAGAGUUUCUUCAGCCUUGUAUUGAAGCUGCUCUGAAUCUGGGGUGUGUAGCAAGAAGAGCUUCUAGGAGCCAACGAUAUUCUAAUCCGAGGUGUUAUCUGAGCCCCAUCACUCCUGAUGUCCCUGGCGGAGUUGAGAAAGGUGGUCAAAAGGAUACUGUUUCCAAUCCAGAGCAUACCCCUCGUUAUUCGAAGUUUGUGAAACCCAUUACCAUCAGCUCAACCCUUCUUGGCUCUGAAUCCACUAUGAAAUCGACAUCUGCCUCCGAAAAUGUUCCUCCUUGUGUUUAUGACCAAUGCUCUCCCAGGGAUAUUCAGGGAACAUCAAAUAUCUCUUCAUAUCCUCUGUACUAUGGGAACUGCCCGCAGUUUAAAGACCUCAAGCAUGGUAUUGUUGGCCUUCCCAAACCUGUUCUGAAACCUUCAGUGCCUGCCAAGAUGAGUGUGACCACAAACCUAUUUUCCGAUGGAGAUAAACCAAACAAUAAUACUCAAAAGGGUUUGAGGGACUAUCCUGAUCAGAGCCAAGAUCUUAUUGAGUGUGAUCUCUCUCUUCGUUUAGGCUCACUCUCUAGUCACUGCCCAAGCAGUGAUAACAAUCCUCCACGGAAAGUCAACGAUGUUGGUGCUCAAGAGGGGAGCAAGUAUACUGAUCAGCCUCCACAUUUGGAUACAGGGCUCUCUUUCUUCACCAAAGGUAAUGAACAUUUCCCUAUUGGGUCGUAUUUGGAUCGGUGGAGUAUUGAGGACGAGUGUAUGAACGCGCACAUAACAAUGAGAAAGCGGAAGGCAGAGUUCAAUCACCCAACAGAGAAUACAAAGUUUUGUAGGCAGCCAGAGUUUCCGUUCAGCUGCUUGACUGGAAGCAUGGGAAAUUGAGAUCUCUAGACUGACUCUUUUGCUUUAGUGAGUUGUUUCAAGAUCUUCUUGCUGAAGCUGUUUUUCACAACUCAUGAUGUACUUCCUAGCUGUUGGGUUUUGGAGUCUGUGGACCCUUUUCUGCUUUGCGUUUGAUAAGAACUGGGAUAAAAAAAAGAUGGAUGAAUCUCACUGGUUGGGGCUGUUUCUUUGUUGUAGCAAAACUGUGUACUGGUAGUGACUAAUGUCUUUGUGAAGGCCAUAUGUGGGGUCAAAACAAAUGCUCUUCUUUCUUUUGUUUCAGCAUAUUCUCCUACCUAAACAAGAUCUUAGAGGCUGUUAAUGCUUUUAAAUGGCUUUGUCUUUGGG